CCUCGCUACUCUGAGCGCCGCGUACGGAAGAAGAUACAGGCAUGAGUUUGAAGCGAGGAGGAGGAAGACUCUUGAGUUGGAGGCAUGGUUUUGCUCAGGGCUUUUCAACUCCAUUCCUGCUUCCAUAACUUUCUCCUGUGGCCACGCCAGGGUAAGUAUCAUUCAUUAUAUGGGUGAUGGCUCUCAAUGCCGCCAUUGUGCCAAAGGUGAGUGGUUGUCACUCAUCUUGGAAGACUACUUUGAUCUGGUGUAGGGAGAACUAGAUUCUGGCCAACAUUUGAAGUGUGAAUGAAAACCAUUCUGCCUACUUUCGAGUCUCUGCUGCAUCAUUAGUUAAGGUAGAUAUGCCUUUAGGUUGGCAUUCAAGUUAGCUACCCGGCCCAGCAUGUCGGAAAGAGAAGCCUGCAUUCUUCCUGAACUUUGCCUAAUCGUAGGCUGGGCUUAAAAGGAAGUCAGCUUUGUCUGACGGUAAAAAUAAAGUAUAGUAAAAAUAAAAAUAGACAUGUCUCAAGGGACAAGGUCAAAGAGAGGCCGGACUGUAACCACUGGGUCCAUCUAUUCAGAGCUGAGGAAACUCUGAGAAAGAUCUGUACCCUGUGACAUCCUUCACCCAAGGCUUACUUGAUUUUCUGCAUUCAGAUUGUGGCAAAGCCGAUGGAGUAAGAACGGAUUUCGGGGAGAUUCAGGUGUUAAUUCUGUUGGUCCCGGGAAGUAUUCAUAGGACACCCACCAGGUGAAGCCAGGAAGUGGAGAAAGCCUGAGAUUUGGUCAAAUCUCGGAGAAAUUCCCUGUCUACAGAGGGGUGCUGAAAAAUGCCCAGGAGGCCAGCUCAUCCCACAAGCUGAGUUGGUAUGGAGGCAAGGAAGUCUCGUGAGGAGCGUCCAGUACCAGAGCCAUUGCCAAGACUGAAAGAGACCUCAGGCAGGGCCUUCCUGACUGCUGUGCUCACGUGAACAAGGGGGGACUUCUUUACCUCGCCCUCUGCUGUCUCUUGUGCCAUUCACGUUCUUCCCACGCCAACAUUUCCAGUUCCUGCUGGGAGCAGAAGAGAAGAAAGCUGAGUACCACAGCCGGCGGUGGAAGGUCUAAAGGGGCUCACCGAGAUUAAUGUGAAAUGACACUGGAGAGCUCCAUAAUCCACGAUGGCUAUUUUCACUUAUUGGACAAUUUUGCAUGCUUCUUGCCCGAAAAGUCUUCCUUGGGAAAUAAGCCUGUUUUAUUGAUUGUUUCUCAAUGAAGUCAGGUUCAGGACAAGCGAUGAGCGAACCCUCGCGAGCGACGUAUAAAUCGCUGUGCGAAAUAAUCUUUUCAGUAAACAAUUACUGGCUGAUAGUCAAGAAAUGCAGAGUAAGAGGUGAUGCAACAUUGAAUCAGUACAUACUUUCGCGUUAUUGCUUUGCAAACUAUUUUCCCUUUCCAUGUGGAAAUACCAUGUCAAUGAAUUAACACCCACUAUUUGGUUUAAUUGGCAUGCUCACUUAACCAACUGUUGCUCAUAAAUUAGGAUUCAUGGAACAUUUUCUAAAAAUCUGUCAAACUCUCCAAUUUUAGCAGGCAAGAGUUUGUUGAGGCAAACCCUAAUGCUCAGUUUACUAUGUGAGUUGAGACGCUGAAAAGCUGGUGGAGUGUGAGACCAGCUGCCGAAAGCUGCUAUUUAUUAGAAAAUUGUGCGGGGAUGUGUGAUUCUAAAACUGUCUUUUCUCUUUCUAAAAUAUACUCUUGUUUAAAAGAGAAGUUUAUACCCUCGGCAUGAACACUUUAUCAUCUUAAUGUGUGACAACGUAUAAACUAACUAAACCAAACCCCAUCUCUCUUCCGCAUCCUUGAAAUUCCUGUCUCUUUUCUCCUCCAUACUCUUGAUUCAGAACACGGCUUCCAAAAUAUCUUAGUUACCCCGCUAGUUUUCCACACUAUCACUUCAAUCAGUCAUGCUUCGUGUGUUCCUUCUAUUUGAAAUUGCAAGAUCUAAAUAAAAAAGUUAAAAAAAAAAAA